rnacentral:rRNA from 1 species
CGAACCGAGCGAACGUUGUUCGGAAUCACUGGGCUUAAAGGGCGCGUAGGCGGGUGCUCAAGUCUGUGGUGAAAUCCUCCGGCUCAACCGGAGAACUGCCAUGGAUACUGGGCGUCUCGAGUGUGGUAGGGGUAUGCGGAACUAUCGGUGGAGCGGUGAAAUGCGUUGAUAUCGAUAGGAACUCCGGUGGCGAAGGCGGCAUACUGGACCACCACUGACGCUGAUGACGCGAAAAGCCAGGGGAGCAAACGGGAUUAGAUACCCCGGUAGUCCUGGCCCUAAACGAUGGGUACUAGCUAGUAGGGUACACAUGGCUUUACUGGCGAAGCAAAAGUGCUAAGUACCCCGCCUGGGGAGUAUGGUCGCAAGGCUGA